rnacentral:rRNA from 1 species
AGUGAACGCUGGCGGUAGGCCUAACACAUGCAAGUCGAACGGCAGCACAGUAGGAGCUUGCUCUUACGGGUGGCGAGUGGCGGACGGGUGAGGAAUACAUCGGAAUCUACUUUUUCGUGGGGGAUAACGUAGGGAAACUUACGCUAAUACCGCAUACGACCUACGGGUGAAAGCAGUGGAUCUUCGGACCUUUCGCGAUUCAAUGAGCCGAUGUCGGAUUAGCUAGUUGGCGGGGUAAAGGCCCACCAAGGCGACGAUGCGUAGCUGAUCUGAGAGGAUGAGCGGCCACAAGGGAACCGAGACACGGUCCAGACUCCUACGGGAGGCAGCAGUAGGGAAUGUGCAGCAAUGGGCGAAAGCCUGACGGAGCAACGCCGCGUGAGUGAGGAAGGUCUUAGGAUCGUAAAACUCUGUUAUUAGGAAAGAACAAAUGUGUAAGUAACUAUGCACGUCUUGACGGUACCUAAUCAGAAAGCCACGGCUAACUACGUG